UGAGGAUUAUUGGUCAAUGGACGAGAGUCUGAACCAGCCAAGUAUCGUGCAGGAUGACGGCCCUAUGGGUUGUAAACUGCUUUUGUUUGGGAAUAAUCGACAUUACGUGUAAUGUUUUGCAUGUACCAUUCGAAUAAGGACCGGCUAAUUCCUUGCCAGCAGCCGCGGUAAUACGGAAGGUCCAGGCGUUAUCCGGAUUUAUUGGGUUUAAAGGGGGUGUAGGCGGUUGGUUAAGCGUGUUGUGAAAUGUAGAUGCUCAACAUCUGACUUGCAGCGCGAACUGGCUGACUCGAGUACACACAACGUAGGUGGAAUUCAUGGUGUAGCGGUGAAAUGCUUAGAUAUCAUGAAGAACUCCGAUUGCGAAGGCAGCUUACGGGAGUGUUAAUGACGCUUAAGCUUGAAGGUGGGGGUAUCGAACAGG
rnacentral:rRNA from 1 species